AGCGAACGCUGGCGGCAGGCUUAACACAUGCAAGUCGAGCGGGCGUAGCAAUACGUCAGCGGCAGACGGGUGAGUAACGCGUGGGAACAUACCUUUUGGUUCGGAACAACACAGGGAAACUUGUGCUAAUACCGGAUAAGCCCUUACGGGGAAAGAUUUAUCGCCGAAGAUUGGCCCGCGUCUGAUUAGCUAGUUGGUGAGGUAACGGCUCACCAAGGCGACGAUCAGUAGCNGGUCUGAGAGGAUGAUCAGCCACAUUGGGACUGAGACACGGCCCAAACUCCUACGGGAGGCAGCAGUGGGGAAUAUUGGACAAUGGCGAAAGCCUGAUCCAGCCAUGCCGCGUGAGUGAUGAAGGCCUUAGGGUUGUAAAGCUCUUUUGCCCGGGAAGAUAAUGACGGUACCGGGAG
rnacentral:rRNA from 1 species